rnacentral:rRNA from 1 species
AUUGAACGCUGGCGGCAGGCCUAACACAUGCAAGUCGAGCGGAUGACGGGAGCUUGCUCCUUGAUUCAGCGGCGGACGGGUGAGUAAUGCCUAGGAAUCUGCCUGGUAGUGGGGGACAACGUUUCGAAAGGAACGCUAAUACCGCAUACGUCCUACGGGAGAAAGCAGGGGACCUUCGGGCCUUGCGCUAUCAGAUGAGCCUAGGUCGGAUUAGCUAGUUGGUGAGGUAAUGGCUCACCAAGGCGACGAUCCGUAACUGGUCUGAGAGGAUGAUCAGUCACACUGGAACUGAGACACGGUCCAGACUCCUACGGGAAGGCAGCAGUGGGGAAUAUUGGACAAUGGGCGAAAGCCUGAUCCAGCCAUGCCGCGUGUGUGAAGAAGGUCUUCGGAUUGUAAAGCACUUUAAGUUGGGAGGAAGGGCAGUAAGUUAAUACCUUGCUGUUUUGACGUUACCGACAGAAUAAGCACCGGCUAACUCUGUGCCAGCAGCCGCAGUAAAAC